ACAGAGAGAAGAGGUAGAAAGGCAUGUUAAAAUGCUGGGUUUUUUUUGUAGCACUUCUCUUUCUACACUUUUUUAAAUGUCAUUUGGCACAAUUUUUUAACUGGUUACUCUGGAUCCUUAUCUAUUUCAGGUACACCCUUCCAUGAGCUGGAUAUAGCCAAAGGAUCCUGGGAUGGGAGCUCAGAACAGAAGAGACAGCAUGCACCCAGAAGUCUCUUGGAAGUCCUUGUCUCAGAGAAAGGAGAUGGUUUUAUUGAGGCAGAUCCCCCCAGGAGCUUGAAGUGCUACUGGAAGCAAGCAGAGGCUGUCCUGUGGAGACAAGGAAUUUGAAUUGUACAGUGUCGGAGAAGGCAUCAACGACACAAACUCCCUUGUUUGAGCAGCAGAAAAACUCAACAUAUGGAAAAGAACUUAAGCUG